AGUUCAAUUACAGCACCGAUGUUAUUGAAGAACUAAGAAGAGACUGCACUGGUGCUCUCGGGAACAGCAGCACAGAACGUUGUGUUUGUAGGCGGUUUCUGUGAGGCUUGUUACUAGCAAGCUGAAGACCCAUGUGAAACCUACCUUUGGCAGAAAAAUUAAAUCAAAAUUGCAGAAUUUCUCACAAAAUGGAAAAUCCUUCUUUCACUCGCCUAGAAGUUCACUCCAAAAGUAUCAAGAGUCUAUUAAAACAAACUAUAAGCACACAAGUCUUCCAAUAGAUGUAACUCUGCAAACUUUCCUAUGCUCUGAUAUCAAACUGUGACUUCAGUACCUGGAGAGUUUCUGUGAUAGAGGCUGUGAUUUAAUAACUUCAUGCUGAAGCCAUGGGACUUGAAACCGUUAGCUGGAUUAUAGCUGAUGUCUUGGUGGGGGGAAUACAUGGCUUAAGAUCUCCAUGCGGAUGUCUCUGCAGUCUGAAGGACAGACUAUGGCCAGCACUCUGCAUGGGUGUGCAAGGCGUGGAAAUGAGAAGGGGACCAGGAGCUUUACAGACAGGGAACUUACAGGCAAGGGCCAGCCAUGAAUGCAGCCACGAUUUUGCCAGGCCUGGCCUCACUUCACUAAGCCAUGGAGGAAUAUACUGCAGAUAUAAUAGCAGAGUAAGUUUGUAAGGACAAGAAUCCUAAUAAUUUGGAUCAGAAAUUUUCCGUCAAAAUGUCUUUUCCAAUGAGAAUGCAAAUGUUGAUGACUUUUUAAGCAAAUGACAUUUUUUUUCUAAUAGCAC